GACGAACGCUGGCGGCGUGCCUAAUACAUGCAAGUCGAGCGAAGUUUUUCUGGUGCUUGCACCGGAAAAACUUAGCGGCGAACGGGUGAGUAACACGUAAAGAACCUGCCUCAUAGACUGGGACAACUAUUGGAAACGAUAGCUAAUACCGGAUACAGCAUUAACUGCAUGGUUGAUGUUUAAAAGUUGGUUUUGCUAACACUAUGAGAUGGCUUUGCGGUGCAUUAGCUAGUUGGUGGGGUAAAGGCCUACCAAGGCGACGAUGCAUAGCCGACCUGAGAGGGUGAUCGGCCACACUGGGACUGAGACACGGCCCAGACUCCUACGGGAGGCAGCAGUAGGGAAUCUUCCGCAAUGGGCGAAAGCCUGACGGAGCAACGCCGCGUGAGUGAAGAAGGAUUUCGGUUCGUAAAGCUCUGUUGUUAGGGAAGAAUGAUUGUGUAGUAACUAUACACAGUAGAGACGGUACCUAACCAGAAAGCCACGGCUAACUACGUG
rnacentral:rRNA from 1 species